rnacentral:misc_RNA from 1 species
AGGACUUCAUCUUCCAAAUACAAGCUUCAUUUUUCGGAAGGUAGAAGACCUUUUCCCCUCCAACGAAAACAGGUAGAAUGCCACCAUGUUCAUCGAUAAAUUGUGCUGUGUUGAAGGAUUAACAAGAGCUCAAAGAAGUAACAGACACACCCUUAAUGCUUUCUUUCCCCAGUUUGAUUAUUGCAUGAAGGAAGUGCUUGAGAUUUUCGAAAGACAUGAUCCUAUUAAAAGAUGAGAGAUGAUCAAACUUCUAAGCUAGGAGCGAACUUAGCUUAGAAGUUAUGCAUUCACAUGAACUCAGUAGCUUUUGUCUAGACUCGAUAUAUGUAUUACUGGAGAGGAGCCAAAUCCAAAGUUGAGAGCUUCGCGCACUUUACAACGUCUUCUUGUACUUUAAUUAUCUCUAUAUGUACAUUUGUUUGUGUCAUGUUGUAUUUCUCAGUUACACAACUAUGAUAUUUUUUGCUCGUCUUUUUAAGCAUGUAAUCAGUUUAAACUUACUGUUUUUAAGGGUCCGUUUGGAUGAGCU